GAGAUCCUUCCAACAGGAAAGUGGUGACAGUCUCUUAAAUCACGACACUGCUUCUUUCCCUCAUCUCAUGUCACACUCACAUCUCUCCUGGCACCUAACAUGCCCUCCCACGUGAGAAAAAUGAGGUCAAAGGAUGGGAGCCAUGUCUAACUCAACUGCUCCCUACAGUGCUGAUCCCUCCCAGAUCAGACAGGAAAAACUACCGGACUGAGCACACGUGGUCCAGACAGUAGCUCCGGACCGGCUGGCCUGGGCUAGUGUUUUCGCUCUACUUGGGAGCUUGUAAUCCUUCCGCAACCAUUAAGAAUUUUUACAGAUAAAGCAGACUUUCCACUUGAAAGAAUCAAGUGCAGACAGACUAUGGUUACUCUGACGCACGUAUGUGGCAGACACGUUCUCAGAGAUGAACGAAGUGAGCCUGUCUCUUCAGGAAAAACUGACAGUAUUUGUUACCGAUGACACAAUUCAAGCUUUCAGGUCCGAUGUUUCCAAACCCACCAAAUGGAAGAUGGACCAAGGCGUUUCAAUGAGACAGAGUAUGACAAGUUUACUGAUGUGGUUUCAGAAUCCACGCUGCAGCUAACCUUUAAGAAACUACCACUUGCCAAGUUUUGGUGGAGUCAUCAAAGAAUACCCACAGUUAGGUAUGACAGCAAAGCUGUCAAAAUUCUUUUCUUUUCCAACUGCGUAUUUGUGGUUC